GUGUCCCUUGUGUGCCAACGUAGUUUGUGUGUGCGCCAUCUUGUUUCAUGUUUGACCGCAAUGGAUACAGGAGAUCAUUGACGCUGCUGCCAUCACAGAGCCCAUCAUUGUUGUUGAUGUUGAACCCUUGUUUUACCCUGCAUUUUGGUGGUUUGUGGGACUAUAUAAUAAAAUGCUGGAUAUGG